GAUGAACGCUGGCGGCGUGCCUAAUACAUGCAAGUCGAGCGAACAGACGAGGAGCUUGCUCCUCUGACGUUAGCGGCGGACGGGUGAGUAACACGUGGAUAACCUACCUAUAAGACUGCGAUAACUUCGGGAAACCGGAGCUAAUACCGGAUAAUAUAUUGAACCGCAUGGUUCAAUAGUGAAAGACGGUUUUGCUGUCACUUAUAGAUGGAUCCGCGCCGCAUUAGCUAGUUGGUAAGGUAACGGCUUACCAAGGCAACGAUGCGUAGCCGACCUGAGAGGGUGAUCGGCCACACUGGAACUGAGACACGGUCCAGACUCCUACGGGAGGCAGCAGUAGGGAAUCUUCCGCAAUGGGCGAAAGCUUGACGGAGCAACGCCGCGUGAGUGAUGAAGGUCUUCGGAUCGUAAAACUCUGUUAUUAGGGAAGAACAAAUGUGUAAGUAACUAUGCACGUCUUGACGGUACCUAAUCAGAAAGCCACGGCUAACUACGUG
rnacentral:rRNA from 1 species